AGCAGUCGCCACGGUAAUACGUAGGGUGCAAGCGUUAAUCGGAAUUACUGGGCGUAAAGCGUGCGCAGGCGGUUAUAUAAGACAGAUGUGAAAUCCCCGGGCUCAACCUGGGAACUGCAUUUGUGACUGUAUAGCUAGAGUACGGCAGAGGGGGAUGGAAUUCCGCGUGUAGCAGUGAAAUGCGUAGAUAUGCGGAGGAACACCGAUGGCGAAGGCAAUCCCCUGGGCCUGUACUGACGCUCAUGCACGAAAGCGUGGGGAGCAAACAGGAUUAGAGACCCCUGUAGUCCCUGUCUCUUAUAC
rnacentral:rRNA from 1 species